rnacentral:rRNA from 1 species
AUUGAACGCUGGCGGCAGGCCUAACACAUGCAAGUCGAACGAGUGGCGGACGGGUGAGUCAUUUCUGGGAAACUGCCCGAUGGAGGGGGAUAACUACUGGAAACGGUAGCUAAUACCGCAUACCAUCAGAUGUUCCCUGAUGGGAUUAGCUAGUAGGUGGGGUAACGGCUCACCUAGGCGACGAUCCCUAGCUGGUCUGAGAGGAUGACCAGCCACACUGGAACUGGGCCACGGUCCAGACUCCUACGGUAGGCAGCAGUGGGGAAUAUUGCACAAUGGGCGAAAGCCUGACGCAGCCAUGCCGCGUGUAUGAAGAAGGCCUUCGGGUUGUAAAGUACUUUCAGCGAGGAGGCGUUACUCGCAGAAGAAGCACCGGCUAACUCCGUGCCAGCCGCCGCGGUAAUAC